GAAGCAGAGACGAAUUACACGCACCAAGUGAGGCGUCUGAGCAGAUGAGAUGCUUCUUUCUGCAAAAAUAAGAUGAAGCAACAGACGCAGGAGGAUGAAGGUACUGGAGAAAGUAGUCGCUGCCCACCUGCAGGACCAUCUCAAAUCCAACACAGUUUGAGAUUUGAGAAAAUUCCAGUCUGGUUUCCGCUCUGCCCGCGGCACAGAAACCGCUCUUGUUCGGGUCGCCCUCUCUCCUCAUUCUCCUUGACCUGUCUGCAGUAUACGACACCGCUGACCAUGGCAUACCGCUCACCCGACUACAUCACACCAUCAGACUCACUGACACCGCCCUUCAGUGGUUUCACUCAUGCCUCACUAACAGAACCGAGUAUGUCUCCAUGGGAGGUGCAAGGUCCCGGACACACACUUUCACCUGCGGGGUCCCUCAAGGGUCGAUCCUCGGCCCCAUCUUCUUCACUCUCUUAAUGCUUCCCCUUGGACAUGUCAUCAGUCAGUGUGAAAUCUCAUUCAAAUGCGACGCUGAUGACACACAAUUAUACAUGAAAAUGGACACACACCACCAACUUCUUCAUCAUCACCGUCUCUCUCCUCACCGCGAGUCUGGAGGAGUCGAAGGCUUGGAUGAAGCACAACUUUCUGCAACUUAAGAGCUUCAAAGCUGAAGCCAUUUUAGUUGGUACUCCUCAUCAGAUCCAGUCAUCCUCCAUAAGCAGCAUAUCAUUCUCUGACCAGGACAUCCCCCUCUCCUCCGCAGUCACCACAUUAAACAGCUCUGCAAAAACUCCGUCCACCACCUCAGAAAUAUUGCCAAGCUCCGUCCAACACUCACCCUUUCUGAUCCUGAGAAGUUUGUCUCCUCCAGACUGUGACACGCUUGUCAUCAGGAUCCCCAGCAAGAGACUCCAAAGACUCCAGUCUCCAUCCCCCCAGGACUAAGCUCCACCCCCUGCUGCCCAUCGUCUGGGGAACGCCCUUCUUGACUGUCGAGUCUUUAAAAAAAGGACUGAAAACAUCCCUUUUUUC